rnacentral:tRNA from 1 species
GGCCCAUUAGUCUAGGGGUUAGGACGUUGGAUUUUGAUUCCAAAGACACCAGUUCGAAUCUGGUAUGGGCCU